CCCCAAAUUUUUGGGAUAAAAGCUGAGUUGAGUUGAGUUGAGUUUUCAGUUCUCUCUUCACCUAUUCUUAGGUCUGCUGUGGUCCAAACAGCAACCUUAGAUUGCUCUUCAGUUCACUCUCUUUUAUACUAGUGUGAUGCACUGUACAUGCACCCCUUUCCAUUCCUAAGAAUUUUAGGAUUGUCCAUGCUAUAUCUUCAAUUGUGGCUCUUAUUCAUUCAUACCAUUAAAUGUAUAGACCAUUUUUUUGGUUGCCUUUCUUGAAAGAUUUUUGGUAUUAUAUAAUUUUUUUUCUGAUUAGCAAGAAUUGGGAGAGGAGAAUCGAUGAAGGUUUUAUCCUAUGAACUGUGAUUUUGUUAUUAAAUAUUCCGUGAUUGUUGUAAGGAUUUGUUAAACUAAUCAAGCCAAAAUUUAAAGGCCUAAAGCAACUGCUAUGGCCCUACCAUUGGUUAGCCUUGUCCAUUCUCUCACUCUGUGUUGUAUUGAUGAUGCCAUUGCCAUUAAUUUUUUGUUCCUAGAAAGAAAAAGAAAAGAAAAGACAGGAACGGAAAAGAAAAGGAAAAGAAAAGAAGAGAAAAACAUUUACUUCUCUUUUUCAUAAUGUUUCCUAACAAAAGUCAAAUACAAUUGCAAGGCAACAUUUUGUCUCAUCAUCCAUCAUUGAUCAACUUUCUUGUCGGCCAACCACAAAGGUUUAACAUGGAACAGAAAAAAAAUAACGAAAACAAACCCUAAAAGGACUCCAAAUUUACACAUCCCAGAAAAAAGGGGAAGAUUUGAACCAUUAAAAUGUGUUUCUUUUGAGGAUUAGGGUUGUUUGGCACUGCAACCCCAAAUUAAAUUCAAACCCAAAAACACCCAACAUGACGGUGGUGAUGAAGGGACUUUUCUUAUCAAUCAUGCCCUGAACGUACCUAAACUCCUCCACAUGGCAAGUGAUGGUGAUCGUACCGUUCUGAUCAAAUCCAUAUUAUUCUUCAGCUUCCUUGAGUAAUUGCAUGAACAGUGGGUGACAGGCACCACUCCUUUGCCAUCCUUGAUCCCAAAUAUCCUUGGACUCUUCUCUCCACUACCCACUGUAAGGAUCGAUGACUGCAGAAACUAGAACAAGAAGCCCAAGAAAAUUUUACAAGAAAAAGAGGGGAAAAGGCCAAGUGUCUGCAAUUAUGGCUCGCUUGAAGAGGGUUAGAGAAGAGUAUCUAAGAGACCUUGG
rnacentral:misc_RNA from 1 species